rnacentral:rRNA from 1 species
GACGAACGCUGGCGGCGUGCCUAAUACAUGCAAGUCGAACGCAGUGGGGUCGGGUGAGUAACACGUGGGUAACCUCCCAUCAGAGGGGAUAACACUUGGAAACAGGUGCUAAACCGAUACUGAUGGAUGGACCCGCGGUGCAUUAGCUAGUUGGUGAGGUAACGGCUCACCAAGGCGACGCUGCAUAGCCGGGCGGAGAGGGUGAUCGGCCACAAUGGAACUGAGACACGGCCCAGACUCCUACGGGAGGCAGCAGUGGGGAAUCUUCGACAAUGGACGAAAGUCUGACCGAGCAACGCCGCGUGAGUGAAGAAGGUUUUCGGAUCGUAAAACUCUGUUGUUAGAGAAGCGGUAUCUACCCAGAAAGCAACGGCUAACUACGUGCCAGCAGCCGCGGUAAUAC